rnacentral:rRNA from 1 species
UGGCUCAGGACGAACGCUGGCGGCGUGCCUAACACAUGCAAGUCGAGCGAGGAGAUUCCUUCGGGAUGAUCCUAGCGGCGGACGGGUGAGUAACACGUGGGCAACCUGCCUCAUAGAGAGGAAUAGCCUUCCGAAAGGGAGAUUAAUACCUCAUAACAUUGCAGUUUCGCAUGGAACAGCAAUUAAAGGAGCAAUCCGCUAUGAGAUGGGCCCGCGGCGCAUUAGCUAGUUGGUGAGGUAACGGCUCACCAAGGCGACGAUGCGUAGCCGACCUGAGAGGGUGAUCGGCCACAUUGGGACUGAGACACGGCCCAGACUCCUACGGGAGGCAGCAGUGGGGAAUAUUGCACAAUGGGGGAAACCCUGAUGCAAGCAACGCCGCGUGAGUGAUGACGGCCUUCGGGUUGUAAAGCUCUGUCUUCAGGGACGAUAAUGACGGUACCUGAGGAGGAAGCCACGGCUAACUACGUGCCAGCCGCAGC